CAGUCCACAGAGAGACAUCGUGAUUUGUAAAAUGCAUUCCUCUGUGUAAAACUCACCAAUCACGUUCUUCAACUAUGUCGUCAAUGCCUUGCUCCGUCAGUUGCGUUAGCUUCAUUGUUUUAGUGAAAAUAGUUCUUUAUUUUUUUAUAUUUAAUUUGAGUCAACUGUCAAUUACCAGUUAACUAGAACCGCGAAUUUUUUUAUAAUAAAGUUUGUUGGCAAAAUAAAUCCGGAAAAAUUAUUUAUUAUUAACUUGUUGAAUAAUGAAAUAACUAUUUUAAAGUAGACUACUGUUAUUACGAGCACUUUGUUAAAUAAAUUAUUAGAGAUUUUAGUUUCAAUAAAUAGACGAUAAACCUACUCUUUUUGUUUACUUUCAGUAUCAUUAUUUAGAAAUUGAGAUUUGCUGCUUCAUCUGUUUGUAGAUGAAGUCAUCCAAUUAAAAAAAUACGUAUGGAUUCCAUUAUAAUUAAAAAGCUCUUAAAGAAAUGGCCAUUCAUGUGAAGAUCAGAUGCAGUAUUUAACUCUUGAUGAUUGACCACAUGGCAGUCCAAACUAUUAUUCCAGAGCUAUCUUGGAUCUGUGCAUUGUUAUUUCUUGUUGUAGUAUUCUUGUUGGUUCUUACAUGUGUUUGCUUCAAAGAUCAUGAAAAAGCAGAAUAUGGUACUGUUGGUCGAUUGUCUAUUACAAGAGAUUCUCCUGUUCUGCAACGUCAAGUAACUAAAAAUUGCUAUACAUUUUAUUGAUUAAGAAAUAUUGAUUUCAUUUUGCUGUUUUCUGUAUACAUUUUUG